AUAAAUUAAAUCGGUUCUUUAUUUCUUCUCCCUUUUUGUUCUCUUUUGUGAUUAGAGUACUGAUCAAACAAAUCCCAAAGCUAAAUUUAUAUUUAAUAUUAACUCAAUCAUCCAUAUCUAAAUUUAACAAAAGCAAAAUUUAAAAUUGAAAAAGAAAAUUAACAGCAACAUUACAAAGUAAAAUUUAAAAAUGAUGAUAGUGUUGGGAGACGAAGGUAUGGUGCUUUGACGCUGGAAUGCGGGCUGCAACGCAAGAGUGAAGGGUCACAUGCUGGAGAGGGGCUAUGUGGCAGUGAUGUAAGAGAGAGAUUGUUGUGUGCUGGAGGUUAGUUGCUAUGGUGCUCGAAUGCGGGGUUGCAAAGCUGGAGUGUGGGGUUGCAACAAUGGAGAGCGAGGUUGCAGCGCUAGAUCGGAGUUGUUGUGCACUAAAGGUGAGGCGACGUGGCAUCGCUAGAGGUUUGACGGUACUGCUGGAUGGGAGGAGCCGUGCUUCGUGCUGGUGCUAUGUUGUGGAAAAGUUGAGGAGAAAAGAAGGAAGAGAUAGCAGGU
rnacentral:lncRNA from 1 species